rnacentral:rRNA from 1 species
UACGGAGGGUGCAAGCGUUAUCCGGAUUCACUGGGUUUAAAGGGUGCGUAGGCGGACAGGUAAGUCAGUGGUGAAAUCUCCUGGGCUUAACUCAGAAACUGCCGUUGAUACUAUUUGUCUUGAAUGUCAUGGAGGUAAGCGGAAUAUGUCAUGUAGCGGUGAAAUGCUUAGAUAUGACAUAGAACACCGAUAGCGAAGGCAGCUUACUACAUGAAGAUUGACGCUGGAGGCACGAAAAGCGUGGGGAGCAAACAGG